AAAGAUCUAAUUAAAUUUAAACUUUUUUGUUUCAAAAAAAAGUUAAAAAUUUAAUUAGUUGUGAAAUUCUAAUCGCUUUUAUUAAUAUCUAGUAGCUUUAGAAAUAAAUUUAGUUUAUAAUAAUAAGGAAAUUUUUAUUUAUAAUAAAUUCUUAAUUUAUUAUUAAAUCUUUGGGGAUGAGCUCUGAGAUUAUUUAUAAGAAUAAACUUGUAUAUGUUUUUUAUAGGCUCAGAAUUAGCCAUAAUAACUUGUUAUAAAAUAUAAUUUAAAGUUUUAGAUUUAUUUUUCUUUUAUAUUUAUAAAGCUAAUUAAAAAAUUUAAUUUAUUUUGUAAAUAUGAUAAUAUUAGUAGAUUUAAAUAUAAAGAAUUUUUUUUAAAUUUUUCUUUAUAAUAUUUUUAUAAAAAUAUAAUAAAAGAACUCGGCAAAUUUAAUUUCCGAAUGUUUAACAAAAACAUUUCUUCCUAGAUUAGGAGGUAAGGCCUGCUCACUGAAAAUUUAAAGAGCCGCAGUAUUCUAACUGUGCUAAGGUAGCAUAAUCAUUAGUCUUUUAAUUGGGGACUGGUAUGAAUGGCUUAACGAGAGAUUGACUUUUUUUAUUAUACAAAUUUAAUUUAAUUUUUUAGUGAAAAAGCUAAAAUUUUUCAAAAAGACGAGAAGACCCUAUAGAGUUUUAUGUUUACUUAUAUUUUUAAUUAUUAGAUUUUCUUAAAGAAUUAAUAUAAUCAAAUAUUUUGUUGGGGCGACAUUAAGAUAAAAAAAACUCUUAUUUUUAAAAAUUUUUUUAUAAAUAUAAAUUGAUCCUUUAAAAAAGAUUAUAAGAAAAAAUUACCUUAGGGAUAACAGCGUAAUCUUUUUUGAGAGUUCUAAUCGACAAAAAGGUUUGCGACCU
rnacentral:rRNA from 1 species